UUAAGCAUAUCAAUAAGCGGAGGAAAAGAAACCAACCGGGAUUGCCUCAGUAACGGCGAGUGAAGCGGCAAAAGCUCAAAUUUGAAAUCUGCGUAAGCCGAGUUGUAAUUUGAAGAUGGCUACUUUGGUAAUGGCUCUUGUCUAUGUUCCUUGGAACAGGACGUCACAGAGGGUGAGAAUCCCGUGCGAUGAGAUGUCCAUUACCGUGUAAAGUGCUUUCGAAGAGUCGAGUUGUUUGGGAAUGCAGCUCUAAGUGGGUGGUAAAUUCCAUCUAAAGCUAAAUAUUGGCGAGAGACCGAUAGCGAACAAGUACAGUGAUGGAAAGAUGAAAAGAACUUUGAAAAGAGAGUGAAAAAGUACGUGAAAUUGUUGAAAGGGAAGGGCUUGAGAUCAGACUUGGUAUUUUGUAUGGCUUGCUUUCGGGCGGGUCCUCUGCAGUUUACUGGGCCAGCAUCGGUUUGGGUGGCAGGAUAAUAGCAUAGGAAUGUGGCUCUACUUCGGUGGAGUGUUAUAGCCUUUGUUGAUACUGCCUGCCUAGACCGAGGA
rnacentral:rRNA from 1 species